rnacentral:rRNA from 1 species
AGUGGCGGACGGGUGAGUAACGCGUGAGCCACCUGCCCUUAGGAGGGGGAUAACGACUGGAAACGGUCGCUAAUACCGCAUGGUACCGGAAGAGAUGGUCCUUUUCUGGUUAAAACUUUGGUGCUGCGCGAGGGGCCUGCGUCCGAUUAGCUAGUUGGUGAGGUAAUGGCUCACCAAGGCAGUGAUCGGUAGCUAGUCUGAGAGGAUGAUUAGCCACACGGGAACUGAGACACGGUCCCGACUCCUACGGGGGGCAGCAGUGAGGAAUAUUGCCCAAUGGACGGAAGUCUGAGGCAGCAACGCCGCGUGGAGGAAGACGGCCCUUGGGUUGUAAACUCCUUUUUUUCAGGGAAGAUAAUGACGGUACCCGUAGAAGAAGCCCCGGCUAACUUCGUGCCAGCAGCCGCGGUAAU